rnacentral:tRNA from 1 species
CAUAGCUCAAUUGGAUAGAGCAACGGACUUCUAAUCCGUAGGUUGCAGGUUCGAUUCUUGCUGG